ACAAAUUGGCUCCACAGACUUCUUGUGGAGGUUUUACUUGGAGACUGGCAGGAAGAAAAUCUGAAAAAGGUCAGGGUGAAAAAUGUGUUUGUUUGUGUUCAUGCAUGAAGCUCAUUCUGAAAAUGUUGGGGCAUUUUAAAGGAGCUUUGUGCGAGCAGGGCUUAAGAUCUUCAGAUAUAGCAGAAAUAAUCUGAUGGCAAUAAACAAAACAUGCACGGUUGUUUAAGUCCAUGUGUCUUAUAGAAAUAUAGUAUUAUGUUGUUGUAUUUUCCUCACUUUGUGGUUGAAAUAUGUAGUUGGACCUGCAUGAAACCCUGAAGCAGGACUGCAGUGCUGCUGAGGAGGCAAAAAGAGGACCGCCUUCCUCCUGCCAAUCAUCCCCUUCAGCGGUGCCCUACCUGAGCGUCCACAGUCCGCACAGGAGAUUAGGUCUUCAGGACAGCCGGUCUUCUUUGAGCCCCCAAGGCAGAAGUCACAGUAGCCGUUGGCGAUCACUGAGCCGUCUGCUGCUUUCUUGGCUGGAAGACAGAAAGUGAAAAAAAAGAUUUAGAAGCCAUUGAUGCAUUUAGACUGACCAGAUUCAAACAACUGCAGAAUCCUAAACUUCAUACACACCGAUUCAUCGCCCUGGACCGGUCCACCACUAUGACUCACCAUGCAGGACAGAAGCAUCAGCAAAUACAACAGAGUGGACUGCACAGAUUGAGACUCAGGGCCUGGAAUCAAUACAACAACCCGACUCUGGCUGGUCGAUAAUCCCAUCCUGUGGCCUGUCGCAGUGGAGGCCCUCAUCAACUUAGUGUGUCUUUCUGGAGGGAAUAACCUCUGCCUCCACACACACAAACAAACAGGCCGACCUGUUGACUCUCCUCACUUUGUCUUUGACUUUACUUCUUCUUUUUCUUUCUUAAUUUGCUCGAUGUAGUGUCGCACAGAUUCUGAAAAUUUUUGCCGACACAAUUAAGUCGAUUGAUAACUCGGAUACCAGCAAUUUUGUCAUCACUUCUUCGUAUUUCUUUGUGUCUGUUUUCCAAAUAAACUGAGAUUUGAUGUAUUUAAAUCCUCUUGAAAUGUCUCUGGAACAUGUCUUACAAACCGCAUGCUGCGUCCGGACUCCAUCACUGCCGACAUUUUCUUUCAUGUUUCACCAUUAAAAAAAAAAAGCAGAUCCUCCAACAGGUGACGUCUUCUGCCCAAAAUAAAAAGUAGCUUCUCUGAAUCGGCAGUUAGGUGUACUAGUUUGCCGCAGCAAAUUGAUUUGACACAACGAAUACAGAUCGGUUACUGACAGCGGCCUGCUGAUACUGAUGUUUAACCGAUGUAUUGUGCAUCCCGUUGCCAUCGCUAGAAAAGUGCAAACAUUGGUAAAUCAAGGCUAAUGCUGUGAUGGGAAUUAAAAAACAACAUUUGAGAGUG